GCCGGUGUGGUGGAAUGGUAGACACGGCGGACUUAAAAUCCUCUGAUGGCAACAUCGUGCCGGUUCGAGUCCGGCCACCGGCACCA
rnacentral:tRNA from 1 species